UGGUUUCUCCUCUUCACCUGUUGGUUCUUCAGGUUUCACCUCUUCAACUGCUGGCUCUUCAGGUUUUUCUUCACAUGCUAGUUCAUUAGGUGUUUCUUCCCGUGUUGAUUCUUUGGGUGUCUCUUCAGUUAUUGUCUUUUCAGGUUUCUCUUCAACCUUUGGUUCUUCAAGUUUCUCCUCUGCCAAUGGUUCUUCAAAUUUCUCCUCCACAGUUGGUUUUUCACGUUCUUCUUCAACUGCCAGUUCUUCAAGUUUUUUCUCAACCGCUGGUUCUUCAGGCUUCUCCAUAACAGCCAAUACUUCAGAUUUUUCUUCAAUCAUUGUUUCAUCAUUAUCUUUUUCAACUACUAGUUCUUGAGGUUUUUCCUCGACUGAUUCAUAGUCAGCAAUAUCAUUGUUGGUAUUGCAAGGAAUUGCAUUAUCUAUCUUGUCCUUUGGGUCUUCCAUUGGAAAAUUCUGCAAGAAAUUUAGAGUUCUACUUAGUAUUUAAAUAGAUAAACAUAUGUAAAUUCGUUGCACAUAUAAAGCCUAAUUUGAUGAAUAAACUUUGUGACAAUGUUUAAUCCUGACCUUCUCUAGAAGAGCUUCUGUUUCAGGUUUCUCCUCUUCAACAAUUAGUUCUUUAGGUGUCUUUUCAACCGUUGGUUCUUCAGUUUUCUCUUCAAGUGCUAAUUCUUCAGGUGUUUCCUCCCCUUCUAGCUCUUCAGGUGUUUCUUCAGCCGCUGGUUCUUGAGGUUCCUCCUCAACCACUGGUUCUUCAGGUUUCUCCUUAACCGCUGGUACAUCAAGUUUCUCUUCAAUAGUUGGUUCUUCAGGUUUUUCUUCAACUACUGACUCUUCAAGAUUUUCCUCAACUUGUGGAGGGUGAGCAACAUCAUUAUUGGUAUUGCAUGGAGUUUCACUGCCAGUUUUGUCGUUUGAGUCUACAACUAGCAUAUUCUGCG
rnacentral:lncRNA from 1 species